rnacentral:rRNA from 1 species
UACGUAGGGGGCAAGCGUUGUCCGGAAUUAUUGGGCGUAAAGAGCGUGUAGGCGGCCCGGUUAGUCCGCUGUGAAAGUCCAGGGCUCAACCCUGGAAUGCCGGUGGAUACUGUCGGGCUUGAGUCCGGAAGAGGAGUGUGGAAUUCCUGGUGUAGCGGUGAAAUGCGCAGAUAUCAGGAGGAACACCAAUGGCGAAGGCAGCACUCUGGGACGUGACUGACGCUGAGACGCGAAAGCGUGGGGAGCAAACAGG